rnacentral:rRNA from 1 species
AUUGAACGCUGGCGGCAGGCCUAACACAUGCAAGUCGAACGAGUGGCGGACGGGUGAGUAAUGUCUGGGAAAAUGCCCGAGGGAGGGGGAUAACUACUGGAAAAGGUAGCUAAUACCGCAUACCAUCGGAUGUGCCAAGAUGGGAUUAUCUAGUGGGUGGGGUAAAGGCUAACCUAGGCUACGAUCCCUAGCUGGUCGGCGAGGAUGACCGGCCACACUGGAACUGAGACACGGUCCAGACUCCUACGGGAGGCAGCAGUGGGGAAUAUUGCACAAUGGGCGCAAGCCUGAUGCAGCCAUGCCGCGUGUAUGAAGAAGGCCUUCGGGUUGUAAAGUACUUUCAGCGGGGAGGCGUUACCCGCAGAAGAAGCACCGGCUAACUCCGUGCCAGCAGCCGCGGUAAUUC